rnacentral:rRNA from 1 species
AUUGAACGCUGGCGGCAGGCCUAACACAUGCAAGUCGAGCGGAUGAAGGGUGCUUGCUCCUGGAUUCAGCGGCGGACGGGUGAGUAAUGCCUAGGAAUCUGCCUGGUAGUGGGGGAUAACGUCCGGAAACGGGCGCUAAUACCGCAUACGUCCUGAGGGAGAAAGUGGGGGAGCUUCGGACCUCACGCUAUCAGAUGAGCCUAGGUCGGAUUAGCUAGUUGGUGGGGUAAAGGCCUACCAAGGCGACGAUCCGUAACUGGUCUGAGAGGAUGAUCAGUCACACUGGAACUGAGACACGGUCCAGACUCCUACGGGAGGCAGCAGUGGGGAAUAUUGGACAAUGGGCGAAAGCCUGAUCCAGCCAUGCCGCGUGGGUGAAGAAGGUCUUCGGAUUGUAAAGCACUUUAAGUUGGGAGGAAGGGCAGUAAGUUAAUACCUUGCUGUUUUGACGUUACCAACAGAAUAAGCACCGGCUAACUUCGUG